UACGUAGGGGGCUAGCGUUGUCCGGAAUCAUUGGGCGUAAAGAGCGCGUAGGCGGUCCGGUAAGUCAGCUGUGAAAGUCAAGGGCUCAACCCUUGAAAGCCGGUUGAUACUGUCGGGCUAGAGUCCGGAAGAGGCGAGUGGAAUUCCCGGUGUAGCGGUGAAAUGCGCAGAUAUCGGGAAGAACAUCGGUGGCGAAAGCGCUCUGCUGGACUGCAACUGACACUCAGGGACGAAAGCGAGGGGAGCGAAUGGG
rnacentral:rRNA from 1 species